rnacentral:rRNA from 2 species
UGGGGAAUAUUGGACAAUGGGGGCAACCCUGAUCCAGCCAUGCCGCGUGAGUGAUGAAGGCCCUAGGGUUGUAAAGCUCUUUUGUGCGGGAAGAUAAUGACGGUACCGCAAGAAUAAGCCCCGGCUAACUUCGUGCCAGCAGCCGCGGUAAUACGAAGGGGGCUAGCGUUGCUCGGAAUCACUGGGCGUAAAGGGUGCGUAGGCGGGUUUCUAAGUCAGAGGUGAAAGCCUGGAGCUCAACUCCAGAACUGCCUUUGAUACUGGAAGUCUUGAGUAUGGCAGAGGUGAGUGGAACUGCGAGUGUAGAGGUGAAAUUCGUAGAUAUUCGCAAGAACACCAGUGGCGAAGGCGGCUCACUGGGCCAUUACUGACGCUGAGGCACGAAAGCGUGGGGAGCAAACAGG